ACUCAGGGAGUUUGUUAAAAAAAAUAAAUAAAUCAAAGCCCCUCUUGCUGUCCCCUCUCCCCACCCCCCCCCAAAGUAUCCCAACAAUACUUUUAGCGUCGGUCUGAAGAGUCUGGGUUUGGGGUGUUCCCGGGUGAUUCCGAACAUGUAUUUCCACAGACCCCGGUUCGGAAAGUGGAGUCGUCAGUUGUGUUUCGCUGCGUGACUCUGGGUGGGUUACUCAGACACUCUGAAUGUUUGCAGCAUUUCACUGUUACGUAAUGUGGGUCACCGCCUUUCUGGCCUCUGAAGUCAGUUUCCUUGCUGCCCACAUUCUGCCUGGCAAAUCAAUAUCACUGAAAGACCCCAGCUUAGCAGCAGUAACGCCAUUUUGCAAGGCUGUACUUAAGAUGACUGGUUCAGGGAAAGGUUAGAACACUGAGUACACAGCGGCUGCCAAGCAAGAUAUGUUUGGUUGAAGGCCUGGCAACAGGACGACUUCGGUUGAGCACCUGACAAUGAAAAAAAGCCCCAGGAGAGGUCCCACACCCUGGUGGGGGGCCGAGUCAGUCGUUAUGUUCCAAGAAGGUAGCUAAGAAACUUGCCCCCGGGCUGAACCCUUGGGGGGCCGAGUCAGCCGUUAUGUUUCAGGAAGGUAGCUAAGAAACAUUAGAAUCCACCAAUGAUAUCCCUGUAACCAUGCAUCUGCUUCUGUAUGCUUGCUUCUGCUCCCCAAAAUCCUAUAAAAGCCCAUCCUUGGUUCCGUGGGGUGCGCCAGUCCCCCGAGUGACUGAAGCGCCCGCAGGUGCCUGUGCCUGUGUAUCCCGACAAUAAACCAAAUCCUCUUGCUGAUUGCAUCCUGUGGUGUCUCGGUCUGGUCUUUGGAGUUAGAGGGUCUCCAUCCCGAGGGAAAGUUCUCCCUGAGAGCUUUUCAUUUGGUGCGUUGGCCGGGAAAGGAGAUCCUCCACCCAGGGACCACCGACCACCCACUGGGAGGUAAGCCGGCCGGCGUCUGUCUGAUUCUGUCUCGUUCUGCCUUAUUCUGUCUGUUCUGUGAGCGCUCAGCCAGGUCUGUUCUGUGAGCGCUCAGCCAGGUCUGUUCUGUGAGCGCUCAGCCAGGUUGUUUGGAAUUUGGGCGGGACGAAGAAGGAGCUGACGAGCUCGGACUUCUCGCCCCGCAGCCCUGGAAGACGUUCCAAGGGUGUUAGGGGCCCGACUUUUCGGGGCCCAAUCUGGGAGAGGAGAAAGAUCCGGACUAACGGCACCUCUGUCUGUAUUUUUGGCUUUCAGAGGGCCCCGGACCUUUGCCACCUCCAUCUGACUUUUGCUUUCAGUUUGGUACCAAAGCCGUGCAGCACGCCUGUCUGUUGUUUGUUUGACUGUUGGUGUUGUUUGUUUUCUCUGUGUUCUAAUCUUCCUUAGAACUAACAUGGGACAGUCCCUAACAACGCCCCUAAGUCUCACUCUUGCCACGACCGGGCACACAACCAGUCCGUCGAGGUUAAAAAAAAAAAGAAAAGGGCAGACUCUCUACACAUCCGAGUGGCCCACUUUCGGAGCAGGAUGGCCAGUGAAUGGCACAUUUAAUAAGAUCAUUAUUUUACAGGUUAAAGAUCGGGUCGUCCACGGACAUCCUGACCAGGUUUCUUAUAUUAUCACUUGAGAGAGUCUCGCCUUAAACCCCCCCCCCCCGGGCGGAACCCUUCCUGGACCCGAAUUGGCCUCCCCUCAACCCCCAGCCUGUCCCCUCAGCCCCGCCCGGCCCGCCGGCCACGUCUUCCUCUCUCUACCUUUGUGAAAUCAGAGCCUUCUAAGAAACCUGUCCUCCCGGCAGACCCAAACUCCCCUCUCAUAGAUCUUCUCUCUGACAGGCCCAGCUAAAACGGAGGAGGCAGAGCCGCCGGCCAGAUCAGUUGCCGGGCCACAGUCUGAUAAGGGUUUCUCCCCUGUCGCAGGGAGGUUGCACAAUAAGCGCGAGGUGAUGCCAGAUUCAACCUCCCAGGCUUUCCCACUUAGACAGGGAACCGGUGGCCAGACCCAAUACUGGCCGUUUUCAGCAGCUGACAUUUACAAUUGGAAACAACACAACCCUUCUUUCUCCAAAGAUCCGGUGACACUCACCGACCUAAUAGAAUCUGUUUUACUUACCCACCAGCCUACUUGGGAUGACUGCCAACAGCUCUUACAGGCCCUCUUAACCUCAGAAAAAAAAAAAAAAAAAAAACAAAGAGUGUUCCUAGAGGCCAGAAAGCAUGUUCUGGGAGAUGAUGGGCGUCCCACCCAGCUGCCUGAGGACCAAACUGGGAUUUUAAUACAGCUGAAGGUAAGGGACACCUACGCCUUUAUCGCCAGUUGCUUCUAGCGGGUCUCCGAGGGGCUAUACGACACCCUACUAAUUUGGCUCAGGUAAAACAGGUAUUACAGGAAGCAGGGGAAACUCCCUCCGCCUUUCUAGAGAGACUUAAGGAGGCCUACCGUAUGUACACUCCCUAUGACCCAGAUGACCCAGGACAAAUGACGAGUGUCUCUAUGUCCUUCAUCUGGCAGGCUGCUCCAGAUAUCAGGACUAAGUUACAGAGGUUAGAAAAUUUGCAGGGCUAUACAUUACAGGAUUUACUUAAAGAAGCUGAAAAGAUUUUUAAUAAGAGAGAGAAUUGAGUCGAAUCUUGGCCGCCGUAGUUCAGGGCCAAGAAAGGAAGGGAGAUAGGGGGGAGCUCGAAAGGGGCUAAAGCUAGAUAAAGAUCAAUGUGCCUAUUACAAAGAAAAAGGACACUGGGCCAGAGAGUGCCCCAAGAAGCCUGGCGGACCCCGAAAGCCUCGACCACGAACCUCCCUCUUGGCUCUAGAUAAAGAUUAGGGAGGUCAGGGCCAGGAGCCCCCCCCUGAGCCCAGGGUAACGCUUAAAGUUGGGGGGCAGCCGGUUACUUUCCUGAUAGACACAGGAGCCCAGCAUUCAGUCCUCACUCAAGCUUCAGGACAACUCAGCGACCGGACGGCCUGGGUACAAGGAGCUACUGGUGAAAAACAAUACCGAUGGACUACGGACCGCCGGAUUCAGCUGGCUACCGGUAAGGUGACCCAUUCCUUCUUACAUGUUCCGGACUGCCCGUACCCUCUGCUGGGCCGUGACCUGCUCACCAAACUAAAAGCACAAAUUCAUUUUGAAGAAAGAGGGGCCCAAAUAACUGGCCCCCACGGAACUCCCCUUCAAGUUCUAACCCUAUAAACCGGGACAGGACACUGGCUUGGACAGAGACUGGUGGGUUGGGGUUGGCGCUCCAACAGCCCCCCUUAAUUAUACAGUUAAAGGCCACUACAACUCCAGUCUCCAUAAAACAAUACCCCCUGUCACAUAAAGCUUAUCAAGGUAUAAGGCCUCACAUUACGAGGCUUCUAGAUCAAGGCAUCCUAAUCCCCUGCCGGUCGCCUUAGAAUACGCCUCUUCUGCCUGUUAAGAAACCCGGCACUGGAGAUUAUAGGCCAGUACAAGACUUGAGAAAGGUCAACAAGAGGAUAGAAGAUAUUCAUCUGACUGUUCCAAACCCUUACAAUUUGCUCCUGACUUUAGGGUUCAACAUCCCACCCUCAUACUCCUGCAAACCUUUUGAACUGUUCAUCGAUGAGAAACAGGGGUAUGCUAAAGGGGUCCUAACACAAAGGUUGGGACCCUGGAAACGCCCUGUGGCCUACCUGUCUAAGAAAUUGGACCCUGUGGCCUCCGGCUGGCCACCGUGCUUAAGGAUGGUGGCUGCUAUUGCUGUCCUGAUCAAGGACACUGGAAAAUUGACUUUGGGACAGCCACUCACCAUCCUAACACCCCACGCAGUGGAGGCCUUGGUAAAGCAGCCCCCAGACCGCUGGCUCUCUAAUUCCCACAUGACCCACUACCAAGCCUUGUUACUGGAUGCAGAACAGGUUCAGUUUGGACCCGUAGUCGCCCUCAAUCCUGCCACCUUGCUUCCCCUACCAGAGGAGGCAGAACAACAUGACUGCCUACAAAUCCUCGCAGAAGUACAUGGAACCAGGCCGGCCUAUCGGACCAGCCUCUUCAGAAUGCUGACCACACAUGGUACACGGAUGACAACAGCUUCUUGGCAGAGGGAGAGCGAAAGGCUGGAGCUGCGGUCACUACGGAGGACAAAGUGAUUUGGGCGAAAGCCCUGCCUGCUGGUACCUCCACACAACGGGCUAAACUCAUCGCCUUGACUCAGGCGCUCAAGAUGACAAAAGGUAAGAGGCUAAAUAUAUAUACAGACAGCCGUUAUGCCUUUGCCACGGCACACAUCCACGGGGAGAUCUACCGGAGGCGGGGGCUGCUCACAUCUGAGGGUAAAGAUAUGGCUAAAAUUCUGGCCCUCUUAGAAGCCCUAUUCUUGCCCAAAAGACUGAGUACAUUGUCCAGGACACCAGAAAGGGCACAACCCAGAGGCACGAGGAAACCGGCUGGCCGAUGCCACGGCGAGAGAAGCGGCCAUGAGCAAACAAAUCUUGCCCUUAAAUAGCCCAGACCAACCCACGCCCCCACCAGUGGGACAAACCAGUUGGGUUUAUGCCCAUGAGGACAUAGAGCUCCUAAAAAAAAUGGGGGCCAUCUACCACCCUCAACUAAAACAGUGGGUCUACAAAGGACUUUUGAAUUGAUCUCCUUUUUACAUAAAUUAACCCAUUUGGGGUUUAAGAAGAUAAAAACCUUACUAGAUCGGGAAGAGAUAAAUCUGUGUUUUUUAAAUCGGGACAAAGCGAUACAAAAGGUGACUGAGAGUUACAAAGUGUGCGCUCAGGUUAACCCGGGAAGGACCAGGAUUGGACAAGGAGUUCGUCCUAGGGGACACCGUCCCGACAUCCAUUGGGAAAUUGAUUUUACUGAAAUUAAACCAGGUAUAUAUGGAUACAAGUAUCUCCUAGUGUUUACAGACACCUUCUCAGGAUGGGUCGAAGCCUUCCCCACAAAGCACGAGACUACAAAAAUGGUCACCAAAAAGCUCCUCGAGAAAAUCUUUCCCAGGUAUGACAUGCCUCAAGCGUUGGGGUUGGACAACGGGCCCGCUUUCGUCUCCCAAGUAAGUCAGUUGGUGGCCAAAUUGCUGGGGAUUGAUUAAAAAUUACAUUGUGCCUAUGGACCCCAGAGUUCAGGUCAGGUAGAACACAUAAAUAGAACAAUUAAGGAGACUUUAUCCAAACUUACGCUUGCAACUGGCUCAAAGGAUUGGGUGGCCCUCCUUCCCCUAGUUCUAUAUCGGGCCCGGAAUACCCCGGGCCCCCAUGGUCUAACUCCUUUUGAAAUAAUAUAUGGAACACCACCCCCAUUUGUCCAUUUCUUUGAUUCAAACAUUGCUGAUUUUGCUGACAGCCCUUCUCUGAGGGCCCAUUUACAGGCCCUACAGAUUGUGCAGAGAGAUGUCUGGAGACCUUUGGCCGCUGCUUACCAGGACAAGCUUGAGCAUCCGGUGGUGCCACACCCGUUCCAGAUUGGAGACACCGUGUGGGUGCACAGACACCAGACCAAGAAUCUCGAGCCACGGUAGAAAGGACCCUACACCGUCCUCCUGACUACCCCGACCGCCCUAAAGGUAGACGGAGUCGCGGCUUAGAUCCACGCACCACACGUCAAGGCAGUCCGGUCUGAGGAAUUGACUAAUCACAACACUACACCCCAGACAUGGAGAGUUCAGUACACUCCAAACCCCUUAAAGUUAAAACUCCUACGUGGCUCCUCCUAGCCCUUUUAUGGCCUAGAGUCAGUGGGGAAAUAAGCCCCCACCAGACAGAAAUUUCUUGACCAAGUCGAGUGAAAGAUUUCACUCAAAGUUAGCAAAAAAAAAAAAAUGGGGGAAUGAAAGACCCCAGCUUAGCAGCAGUAACGCCAUUUUGCAAGGCUGUACUUAAGAUGACUGGUUCAGGGAAAGGUUAGAACACUGAGUACACAGCGGCUGCCAAGCAAGAUAUGUUUGGUUGAAGGCCUGGCAACAGGACGACUUCGGUUGAGCACCUGACAAUGAAAAAAAGCCCCAGGAGAGGUCCCACACCCUGGUGGGGGGCCGAGUCAGUCGUUAUGUUCCAAGAAGGUAGCUAAGAAACUUGCCCCCGGGCUGAACCCUUGGGGGGCCGAGUCAGCCGUUAUGUUUCAGGAAGGUAGCUAAGAAACAUUAGAAUCCACCAAUGAUAUCCCUGUAACCAUGCAUCUGCUUCUGUAUGCUUGCUUCUGCUCCCCAAAAUCCUAUAAAAGCCCAUCCUUGGUUCCGUGGGGUGCGCCAGUCCCCCGAGUGACUGAAGCGCCCGCAGGUGCCUGUGCCUGUGUAUCCCGACAAUAAACCAAAUCCUCUUGCUGAUUGCAUCCU